GAUGAAGAACGCAGCGAAAUGCGAAAAGUAAUGUGAAUUGCAGAAUUCAGUGAAUCAUCGAAUCUUUGAACGCACAUUGCGCCCGCCAAUAUUCUGGCGGGCAUGCCUGUCUGAGCGUCAUUUCAACCCUCACGCCCCUAGGGCGUGGUGUUGGGGAUCGGCCAAGGCCCGCAAGGGACGGCCGGCCCCUAAAUCUAGUGGCGGACCCAUCGUGGCCUCCCCUGCGAAGUAGUAAUAUAUUCCGCAUCGGAUAGCGAUGAGCCCCUGCCGUUAAACCCCCAACUCUUUCAAGGUUGACCUCAGAUCAGGUAGGAAUACCCGCUGAACUUAAGCAUAUCAAUAAGCGGAGGA
rnacentral:misc_RNA from 1 species